rnacentral:rRNA from 1 species
UACGUAGGGUGCGAGCGUUGCCCGGAUUUAUUGGGCGUAAAGGGCGCGUAGGCGGCCACGCACGUCCGUUGUGAAAUCGCCCGGCUCAACUGGGCGGGGUCAGCGGAUACGGUGUGGCUCGAGCAAGCUAGGGGGCAAUGGAAUUCCCGGUGUAGUGGUGGAAUGCGUAGAUAUCGUAAGGAACGCCAGUGGCGAAAGCGAGUCUCUGGGCAGCAUCUGACACUGAGGCACGAAGGCCAGGGGAGCAAACGGG